AUUGAACGCUGGCGGCAGGCUUAACACAUGCAAGUCGAGCGAGCGGCGGACGGGUGAGUAAUGUCUGGGAAACUGCCUGAUGGAGGGGGAUAACUACUGGAAACGGUAGCUAAUACCGCAUACCAUCAGAUGUGCCCAGAUGGGAUUAGCUAGUAGGUGUGGUAAUGGCUCACCUAGGCGACGAUCCCUAGCUGUUCUGAGAGGAUGACGAGCCACAAGGUAACAGAGACACGGAGCAGACUCCUACGGGAGGCAGAAUUGGGGAAUAUUGCACAAUGGGCGCAAGCCUGAUGCAGCAAUGCCGCGUGUGUGAAGAAGGCAUUCGGGGUGUAAAGCACUUUCAGCGAGGAGGCGUUACUCGCAGAAGAAGCAACGGCUAACUCCGUGCCAGACGCCGCGGUAAUAA
rnacentral:rRNA from 1 species